rnacentral:rRNA from 1 species
CCAGCUCCAAUAGCGUAUAUUAAAGUUGUUGCAGUUAAAAAGCUCGUAGUUGGACCUUGGGCAAGAUGCAUCGGGUCAGUCGCAAGACUGGACUCGGUCGUGGCGCCUCUACUGGGGGACUCGUGACCGCGAGGUGGCGAGGCAACCUGCGUUACUGUGAAGAAAUUAGAGUGUUUAAAGCAGGCGAUCGCUUGAAUACAUCAGCAUGGAAUAACAAGACAAGACAUUGGGUCUUCUUGUUGGUUUGGGGAGCAGUGUAAUGAUUAAUAGGGCCAGUUGGGGGCAUUAGUAUUCAGUAGUCAGAGGUGAAAUUCUUGGAUUUACUGAAGACUAACUAGUGCGAAAGCAUUUGCCAAGGAUGUUUUCAUUAAUCAAGAACGAAAGUUAGGGGAUCGAAGACGAUCAGAUACCGUCGUAGUCUUAACUAUAAACGAUGCCGACUAAGGAUCGGCAGAAGUCGUUAGCGACUCUGUCGGCACUUUGUGAGAAAUCAAAGUUUUUGGGUUCUGGGGGGAGUAUGGUCGCAAGGCUGAAACUUAAAGGAAUUGACGGAAGGGCACCACCAGGAGUGGAGCCUGCGGCUUAAUUCGACUCAAC